AGCGAACGCUGGCGGCAGGCCUAACACAUGCAAGUCGAACGAACCUUUCGGGGUUAGUGGCGGACGGGUGAGUAACACGUGGGAACGUGCCUUUAGGUUCGGAAUAACUCAGGGAAACUUGUGCUAAUACCGAAUGUGCCCUUCGGGGGAAAGAUUUAUCGCCUUUAGAGCGGCCCGCGUCUGAUUAGCUAGUUGGUUGAGGUAAUGGCUCGCCAAGGCGACGAUCAGUAGCUGGUCUGAGAGGAUGAUCAGCCACAUUGGGACUGAGACACGGCCCAAACUCCUACGGGAGGCAGCAGUGGGGAAUCUUGCGCAAUGGGCGAAAGCCUGACGCAGCCCUGCCGCGUGAAUGAUGAAGGUCUUAGGAUUUAAAAUUCUUUCACCGGGGACGAUAAUGACGGUACCCGGAGAAGAAGCCCCGGCUAACUUCGUG
rnacentral:rRNA from 1 species